GACGAACGCUGGCGGCGUGCUUAACACAUGCAAGUCGAACGAAGUGGCGAACGGGUGAGUAACGCGUAAUCAACCUGCCCUUCAGAGGGGGACAACAGUUGGAAACGACUGCUAAUACCGCAUACUGAAGGAGGGGAUUGCGUCUGAUUAGCUAGUUGGAGGGGUAACGGCCCACCAAGGCGAUGAUCAGUAGCCGGUCUUGGAAGAUGAACGGCCACAAUGGGACUGGGAAACGGGCCAGACCCCUAAGGGGGGCAGCAGUGGGGAAAUCUCCGGAAUGGACGAAAGUCUGACGGGGCAACGCCGCGGGAGUGAUGACGGCCUUCGGGUUGUAAAGCUCUGUUAAUCGGGACGCGGUACCGGAAUAGAAAGCCACGGCUAACUACGUGCCAGCAGCCGCGGUAAUAC
rnacentral:rRNA from 1 species